rnacentral:pre_miRNA from 1 species
UUAACACAGAUUUGUAUGGAGUUGGCAAGUUUGCCUACGUUUGCCGCUAGGGGCGCUGUUCCAACUGCAUAAAAAUGUGUUA